rfam:Streptomyces rubidus strain CGMCC 4.2026 genome assembly, contig: Ga0079901_1024
GGACUAGACCUUUACUCGGAUCGUCCGGCACGUUCCUGCCGGUGAAGGGACUGUAC